UUUUGAGAGGGAGUCUCGCUCUGUUACCCAGGCUGGAGUGCAAUGGCACGAUCUUGGCUCACUGCAACCUCCACCUCCUGGGUUCAAGUGAUUCUCCUGCCUCAACCUCCCAAGUAGCUGUGAUUACAGGCACCCGCCACAACGCCCAGCUAAUUUUUGUAUUUUCAGUAGAGACGGGGUUUCACCAUGUUGGUCAGGCUGGUCUCAAAUUCCUGACCUCGUGAUCCGCCUGCCUCGGCCUCCCAAAGUGCUGGGAUUACAGGCGUGAGCCACCGCGCCCGGCCGCUGCUUUAAGUUCUUAACACGUCCUCACCGCGGCUCAGCUCACUGAAACUGAAAAUUCACACAGCAGCCGUGGGAGUCAGAGUAGCAAAGGCUUUGAGAUCACAUAGACCUGGGACACGUGCUUGCUUUGUGAUUACGGGUGCGGGGACUGCUUGCCAACCCAUGGCAACUCACCUGUAGCGCAUGGAGAUUUGGGGGUAAACCCAGUGAUGCUGAGUAUGUGGGCUGCCCAAGCUGGGUGGCAACCAACCCCAGCAUUGAAUGUGCUGAGAGCUGGACCGGUGGAUGUCCCCACUGCCCUGAGGCAGGUCCAGGAGAAGGCUCCUACCUGCUGUGCAGAGGGCAAGCCCCAAGUCAAGACUCCCAAAAUGUUACCAGAUGUCAGGCAUGAAAUAUACACCCCUGGCAAGCUCUGCCAUGCACAGGAGUCAUGCUGCUUUCAAUCCACGGGAGAGCCGGACACGAGCGUUCCAAGGCAGGAGCAGAACUCCAUGUUGGCCAUUAUAAAGACAAGAUUCCUUUUCCCCCGCUUUUUAUAGCCUCUCUGGGUAAGAUGUGUCUGGAAGGAGGUGUGGGCCAGGAAAGAGCAUAUGUCUGAUGCCUGGGAUUCCAGGACAGAAAGUACAGCCGACUCCAAGCUCUUGGGAUGGGAUUGGAGGGUCUCAAAACCUUGCCAGCUUUGGAGUCAGAGAGAAAAGAGUCCCAACCCCAGAUUUAUCAUUUGCUAACAAAUGUGACCUUGGGCAAAUCAGCUCACCUCUCUGGCCCUCAACAGAGAUAAUCCUGGGACCUAUUUCACAGUCAUGGAGAGGAUUAAAUGGGAAGAGGAAUAAAAGGAGUUUGGAGAAGUGCCCAGGACAUAGUAUGCACUGAGCAAAUUCCGUAGUAAGAGGAGUAUUAGUAAUAGCUACUAUUGAUUAGGUGGUGUUGUGAGUUGAACAGUGUUCCCCCAAAAUUCAUGUCCACCCAGAGACACAGAAUGUGACCAUUUGUGGAAAUAGGGUCUUUGCAAAUGUAAUUAGUUAAGAUGAGGUCAUACUAGAUUAGGGUAGGCCCUAAGUCUAAUGACUGGUGUCCUUAUUAGAAGAGGAUAGGGGCUGGGCACAGUGGUUCACACUUGUAAUCCCAGGGCUUUAGGAGGCUGAGACAGGAGGAUGGCUUGAGCCCAGAAGUUCAAGACCAGCCUGGACAACAUACUGAAACCCAUCCAGUCUCUAAAAAAGAAACUAAAAGCCAGGUGCAGUGGCUUACAUCUGUAAUCCUAGAACUUUGGGAGGCUGAGACAGGAGGAUCACUUGAGGCCAGGAGUUCAAGACCGGCCUGGGCAACAUAGCAAGACCCCAUCUCUAUUAAAAAAUAAAUAAAUAAUAAAUAAAAUUAAACUUAAAAAAUUUAAAAAUUAGCCAGCCAUGGUGGGAGGAUUGCUUGAGCCCAGGAGUUUGAGGCUGCAGUGAGCUAUGAUCAGGCCACUGCACUCCAGCUUGAGCAACAGAGUGAGAUCCUGUCUAAAACAAGAUGGGACACACAGGAAGUGGUGGUGCAAAGAUGGUGCAGCCGCAAGCUGAGGAACAACAAGGAUCCCUGACCACCAGCAGAAGCUAAGAGGCAAGAAAGGAUUCUUCCUUAGAGUCUUCAGAGGGAAAGUGGCCCUGCUGACACCCUGAUUUCAAACUUCUAGCAUCCAGAACUGUGAAAGAACGAGUUUCUGUUGUUUGAAGCCACCUAGUUGGAGGUGCUUCAUUACAGCAGUCCUAGGAAGCUAAUACA
rnacentral:lncRNA from 1 species